rnacentral:rRNA from 1 species
CGUAGGCAGCAAGCGUUGUUCGGAAUUACUGGGCGUAAAGGGUGCGUAGGCGGCUUUUAAGUUUGGUGUGAAAUCUCCCGGCUCAACCGGGAGGGUGCGCCGAAUACUGAGAAGCUAGAGUGUGGGAGAGGAAAGUGGAAUUCCUGGUGUAGCGGUGAAAUGCGUAGAUAUCAGGAGGAACACCGGUGGUGUAAACGGCUUUCUGGACCAUAACUGACGCUGAUGCACGAAAGCGUGGGUAGCAAACAGGAUUAGAUACCCUGGUAGUCCACGCCCUAAACGAUGCAUAUUUGGUGUGGGCCAUUCAUUUGGUCCGUGCCGGAGCUAACGCGUUAAAUAUGCCGCCUGGGGAGUACAGUCGCAAGGCUG